AGAUUUGCCUCAUAUGACCAUCUGAUGGCCUUUUUGUCUCUCAUCAAACCAUCAACUGUAAAAAUUGCCCGUGUCACACGAGCAAGGAAAACAAAGCUGAGGAAUUAGAUGACACUUCCAUAUCCCUACUCAAGACAUGCCCUACCCAUGCUGGAUGAGCUGUUCCUCUUCCUCAUGUACUGGGGUCAACUGAGAUGGACCUCGCUGACCGAUUUGACAUUCAUCACUCGACAGUCAGCAGGAUCGUUGUCACAUGGGCCAACUACCUUUACAUUCUGCUGGGGUAUGUCUCUAUAUGGAUGUUUUUGGAAGAUGUCACGGCUGAGUUGCCAAGGAGUUCAGUAAGUAUCCAAUAAGUAUCCAGUAAGACACCCAAGUCAUCAUUGACCGAGUUGAGAUGACAGCAGCCAGUCUCCCUCUACACAGUGAGAUGUACUCUCAUUACAAGUCCCACUGACCUUGAAAGGCCUGCUUGGGAUGGCCCCACACGGAGCAGUUCCUUUUGUGUCAGAAUUGUAUGCUGGCUCCAUUAGUCACAGAGCUAUUCAAACAAUCAGGACUGUUUGGCUUUCUCACUGAAGACAUGGCAGUGAUGGCAGACAUGGGGUUCUUGAUUGAUAACGGUGUGCCAGGCAAGGUCUACCAUCCACCCUUUGUCUAAACAGAGCCAAAUGCCAGCAGCACACGUCCAUCAAACGCAAGAUAUUGCCCAUCUUAGAUUCCACAUUGAGACAUUAAUUGGCAGAAUGAAUCUGAACAAGGUGUUUCAGUCAGAGAUCCCCAUGUCACUGAUGGGAAGCAUCAACUGCUUCUGGGCUGUGGAUUGCUUUCUCGCAAACUACCAGUGUGGGCCUCUUGUUGAAGGCAUGGGCCAAGAAGCAAUGAGCUACUACUUCAAUGCAUCUUUCCUUUUUUUGCUGUGACCAUCCAUAUUGCCUAACACCCUGUAGUCCAUUUGUUGAUAAUAAACACCACUGCUUAUAAUCCAAA